UCCGACGUCGUGCACGGCGCACACCUGCGAGCAAUGUGCUAAAAUCUCGAAAUGGGAGCAGGGAACCUGGGUUCGACUCCCAGCGUCGGAA